CCUCCGUAGGUGAACCUGCGGAGGGAUCAUUACCGAGUACUAUAACUCAUAACCCUUUGUGAACCUUCAUACCUGUUGCUUCGGCGGCGCGCCUCUCGGGGCGUGCCCGCCGGCAUUAUCAGAAUCUCUGUUCGAACCCGACGAUACUUCUGAGUGUUCUAAGCGAACUGUUAAAACUUUCAACAACGGAUCUCUUGGCUCCAGCAUCGAUGAAGAACGCAGCGAAACGCGAUAUGUAAUGUGAAUUGCAGAAUUCAGUGAAUCAUCGAAUCUUUGAACGCACAUGGCGCCUUCCAGUAUCCUGGGAGGCAUGCCUGUCCGAGCGUCGUUUCAACCCUCGAGCCCCCGUGGCCCGGCGUUGGGGACCUGCCCAGGCAGUCCCCGAAAACCAGUGGCGGACCCGACGGGCCCUUCCUUUGCGUAGUAACAUCUGCCUCGCAUCGGGAGCCCCCGGGCUAUCCGGCCUCUAAACCCCCCUCAAGCCCGCUCCGGCGGCACCAAGGUGACCU
rnacentral:rRNA from 1 species